rnacentral:rRNA from 1 species
AUACGGAGGAUCCGAGUGUUAUCCGGAUUUAUUGGGUUUAAAGGGUGCGCAGGCGGCCAUUUAAGUCAGCGGUUAAAUCGUGGGGCUCAACCCCAUUCUGCCGUUGAUACUGGGUGGCUUGAUUGCGGUCGAGGUUGGCGGAAUUCGUUGUGUAGCGGUGAAAUGCAUAGAUAUGACGAAGAACACCGAUUGCGUAGGCAGCUGACCAGACCGCAAAUGACGCUCAUGCACGAAAGUGCGGGGAUCGAACAGGAUUAGAUACCCUGGUAGUCCGCACAGUAAACGAUGAAUACUUGUUUUCGGCGAUAUAAUGUCGGAGGCAAAGCGAAAGCGAUAAGUGUUCCACCUGGGGAGUACGCCGGCAACGGUGAAACUCAAAGGAAUUGACGGGG